UACGGAGGGGGCUAGCGUUGUUCGGAAUUACUGGGCGUAAAGCGCACGUAGGCGGACUGUUAAGUCGGGGGUGAAAUCCUGGGGCUCAACCUCAGAAUUGCCUCCGAUACUGGCAGUCUCGAGUGCGGGAGAGGUGAGUGGAAUUCCCAGUGUAGAGGUGAAAUUCGUAGAUAUUGGGAAGAACACCAGUGGCGAAGGCGGCUCACUGGCCCGAAACUGACGCUGAGGUGCGAAAGCGUGGGGAGCAAACAGG
rnacentral:rRNA from 1 species